rnacentral:tRNA from 1 species
CGGGGCAUAGCUCAGCCUGGCUAGAGCGCUGCGUUCGGGACGCAGAGGCCGCUGGUUCAAAUCCAGUUGCCCCGA